UCACGACCUGAGCUGAAAGCAAGAGUUGGACACUUAACCGACUGAGCCACCCAGGUGGUCAUUAGCAGGUAGAAAGAUCCUGUAUUUCUCUUACCGAUCUUGUGUCCGGGACCGUCAAACUCACCGGCCAGGUGUGUGCAUGUAUCUGGAUUCCGUAGGACCCUGUCAGCUGUGACUAAGAACGUGUUCGCUUGUUCUCUCCA